rnacentral:rRNA from 1 species
GGCGAACGGGUGAGUAACACGUGGGUAAUCUGCCCUGCACUCUGGGAUAAGCCUGGGAAACUGGGUCUAAUACUGGGUAUGACCUUUCUCCUUAUGGGGUUUGGUGGAAAGUUUUUCGGUGUAGGAUGAGCCCGCGGCCUAUCAGCUUGUUGGUGGGGUGAUGGCCUACCAAGGCGACGACGGGUAGCCGGCCUGAGAGGGUGAUCGGCCACAUUGGGACUGAGAUACGGCCCAG